rnacentral:lncRNA from 1 species
AGAACAUGACUGACCGUCCAACCCAACACCAUGGUCCGGAAGCGCUAUGUGAGAAGCUAGGGACGAUUCAGUCAGAGUCGCGAAAUUUACUCCACGACCUUGACCAGUACAUCCACUAACUCGUCCCGCUGCGUCAAGGCACAAGGCUUUGCAACCCGUACCUAGAGUUAGCGUUUUCCGUUAGAUCGAGGCCUAAGGCUUUUCAACCCGUACUACGACCUAACAUUGUCUUAGACUGGACUAGUCAAAUAUUAGAGUACUCAUGAUACGCAUAUAAAAUGAUUACUUUAUUGAUUUAAGAAAUAUUCAUACAUUGAAUAAUUCGAGACUGGGCCCGCCCUAAUGCCAAAUCGAACCAACUAAACAAAUAACUCAAUACCGUUUACAAAAGCCAUGAAAAUCUACACCGGCGGUCCUAAAGUCCAGCACCAAGCUAUCCGAUCAUCCUUACCUAGACCUGCAAAAAGGACAACAGAGUUGGAUGAGUAACCUAAUGUUACUCAGUGAAUUAUGAUCCCCAUCUAACAAAUACAACUCCUCGCUAUCCCACCCCAAACAAUCUAAAGCGAGAGGUUCACCUAAUAGCACAAUUCCAUAACAACAAGCAAUAUCCAAAAUACUCAGUGGAUAAUAAUAGCAAGAUAAUUAACGAUAUGAAAUCAUAACCGCUAAUGACUAGCUAACCACUUAAACUCAAACUCAACUAAAUCUAGGGUUCAACAACCCUCUACAGUAUCUACACUAUAACUAGGGCCCUUUGUGACUUAGUGUUCCUCCUCUAUCCUCGGCAAUAUCCUAUCACCCUACCACAAAGGCCAGAAGAAGGAACUUUCAACCGAACGCGGUCCACAGU